UUUUUGAGGGUGGAGCUCUCUUGAAGUCCAAAAGAGGGUGUAACUGGGAAGAUUGAGCUGCUAAUCUAUGGAUUCCUCAGCCCUAUCGAUAUCCAUAAUUCUAUAUGGAUAGGGUUGUGGAUUGCAUAUGUUAGGAGCUUCAUUACCCAUGUUUGGAUCCUUGUUUGGAUUGAAGGGAGCUCCGCGCGCACACUUU
rfam:Ipomoea nil DNA, scaffold: scaffold0415, cultivar: Tokyo-kokei standard.